rnacentral:rRNA from 1 species
CAGUCGCCACGGGAAUACGUAGGUGGCGAGCGUUGUCCGGAAUUAUUGGGCGUAAAGGGAGAGCAGGCGGGCAUAUAAGUCCAUCUUAAAGGUGCGGGGCUCAACCCCGUGAGGGGAUGGAAACUGUAAGCCUUGAGUGCAGGAGAGGAAAGCGGAAUUCCCAGUGUAGCGGUGAAAUGCGUAGAUAUUGGGAGGAACACCAGUGGCGAAGGCGGCUUUCUGGACUGUAACUGACGCUGAGGCUCGAAAGCCAGGGGAGCGAACGGGAUUAGAGACCCCAGUAGUCCCUGUCUCUUAUACA